rnacentral:rRNA from 1 species
UAAGGAAUAUUGGUCAAUGGAGGCAACUCUGAACCAGCCAUGCCGCGUGCAGGAAGACGGCCCUCUGGGUUGUAAACUGCUUUUACUCGGGAAUAAACCUAUCUACGUGUAGAUAGCUGAAUGUACCGAAGGAAUAAGGAUCGGCUAACUCCGUGCCAGCAGCCGCGGUAAUACGGAGGAUCCAAGCGUUAUCCGGGUUUAUUGGGUUUAAAGGGUGCGUAGGCGGCCUGUUAAGUCAGGGGUGAAAGACGGUAGCUCAACUAUCGCAGUGCCCUUGAUACUGAUGGGCUUGAAUGGACUAGAGGUAGGCGGAAUGAGACAAGUAGCGGUGAAAUGCAUAGAUAUGUCUCAGAACACCGAUUGCGAAGGCAGCUUACUAUGGUCUUAUUGACGCUGAGGCACGAAAGCGUGGGGAUCGAACAGGAU